GCCAGACUCCUACGGGAGGCAGCAGUGGGGAAUAUUGGGCAAUGGAGGAAACUCUUACCCAGCAAUGCCGCGUGAAUGAAGAAGGUCUUCGGAUUGUAAAGUUCUUUAAUUGGGGACGAAAAAAAUGACGGUACCCAAGGAAUAAGCCCCAGCUAACUACGUGCCAGCAGCCGCGGUAAUACGUAGGGGGCAAGCGUUAUCCGGAUUUACUGGGUGUAAAGGGAGCGUAGACGGCAGUGCAAGUCCGGAGUGAAAGCCCGGGGCUCAACCCUGGGACUGCUCUGGAAACUGUAAAGCUGGAGUGCGGGAGGGGCAGGCGGAAUUCCUGGUGUAGCGGUGAAAUGCGUAGAUAUCAGGAGGAACACCGGCGGCGAAGGCGGCCUGCUGGACCGUAACUGACGUUGAGGCUCGAAAGCGUGGGGAGCAAACAGGAUUAGAUACCCCAGUAUCA
rnacentral:rRNA from 1 species